AUUCUCUCUGCUCAGCUCAGCUACAAGUGCAGCUCUUGAAAUGUGGUUGUUGUAACUGAGAGACAGAAUUUUGUAUCAUGUAAUAUAU